AGCGAACGCUGGCGGCAGGCCUAACACAUGCAAGUCGAACGGCUCUUCGGAGCAGUGGCGGACGGGUGAGUAACGCGUGGGAACGUGCCCUUUGGUUCGGAACAACACAGGGAAACUUGUGCUAAUACCGGAUGUGCCCUUCGGGGGAAAGAUUUAUCGCCAUUGGAGCGGCCCGCGUUGGAUUAGGUAGUUGGUGGGGUAAUGGCCUACCAAGCCGACGAUCCAUAGCUGGUCUGAGAGGAUGAUCAGCCACACUGGGACUGAGACACGGCCCAGACUCCUACGGGAGGCAGCAGUGGGGAAUCUUGCGCAAUGGGCGAAAGCCUGACGCAGCCAUGCCGCGUGAAUGAUGAAGGUCUUAGGAUUGUAAAAUUCUUUCACCGGGGAAGAUAAUGACGGUACCCGGAGAAGAAGCCCCGGCUAACUUCGUGCCAGCCGCCGCGGUAAGAC
rnacentral:rRNA from 1 species